GAUGAUACCGUUGGACAGGAUAUUGAUGAUGAUAUCUUUGCCAGUAAUGGGACUUCAUGACAUUAACUUUCUUGUCCUUUCCAUAGAAGUCUCAGAGUGUAUUCAAUAUUAUCCAUAUAGAGAUUCAUACCAUACUUAGAAUAAUUCUUUGUUAAGUUUUAUAUUUUGAUUGGUCGGAUGAUCUGUUGGGCGUGAGUCAGAGUGAGCGGAAAUUAGAGUCUUUUCGUAGAUCUUAUAUUCUUCAGAUAGUUGC
rnacentral:lncRNA from 1 species